AUGAACGCUGGCGGCGCGCCUAACACAUGCAAGUCGAACGAUUAAAGCACCUUCGGGUGUGUAUAAAGUGGCGAACGGCUGAGUAACACGUGGGCAACCUGCCCCUUUCAUUGGGAUAGCCACGGGAAACCGUGGAUAAUACCGAAUACUUCGAGACUUCCGCAUGGAAGACUCGAGAAAGCUCCGGCGGAGAGGGAUGGGCCCGCGGCCUGUUAGCUUGUUGGUGGGGUAACGGCCUACCAAGGCAAUGAUGGGUAGCUGGGUUGAGAGACCGACCAGCCAGAUUGGGACUGAGACACGGCCCAGACUCCUACGGGGGGCAGCAGUGGAGAAUCUUGCACAGUGGGCGAAAGCCUGAUGCAGCGACGCCGCGUGCGGGAUGAAGGCCUUCGGGUUGUAAACCGCUUUCAGCAGGGACGAGGCGAAAGUGACGGUACCUGCAGAAGAAGCCCCGGCUAACUACGUG
rnacentral:rRNA from 1 species